UGGGUUGUGGCUCAGUGGUAGAGCACUUGCCUAGCAUGUGCAAGAUCCUGGGUUCAAUCCUCAGCACCACAU
rnacentral:tRNA from 1 species